CGUGAACCAUCGAGUCUUUGAACGCAAGUUGCGCCCGAAGCCACCCGGCUGAGGGCMCGCCUGCCUGGGCGUCA
rnacentral:rRNA from 1 species